rnacentral:rRNA from 1 species
AGAGUUUGAUCAUGGCUCAGAACGAACGCUGGCGGCAGGCUUAACACAUGCAAGUCGAACGCCCCGCAAGGGGAGUGGCAGACGGGUGAGUAACGCGUGGGAAUGUGCCCCAAGGUACGGAACAACAGCGGGAAACUGCUGCUAAUACCGUAUGUGACCGAGAGGUGAAAGAUUUAUCGCCUUGGGAUCAGCCCGCGUUAGAUUAGCUAGUUGGUGAGGUAAUGGCUCACCAAGGCUACGAUCUAUAGCUGGUCUGAGAGGAUGAUCAGCCACAUUGGGACUGAGACACGGCCCAAACUCCUACGGGAGGCAGCAGUGGGGAAUCUUGGACAAUGGGCGCAAGCCUGAUCCAGCCAUGCCGCGUGAGUGAUGAAGGCCCUAGGGUUGUAAAGCUCUUUCACCGAUGAAGAUAAUGACGGUAGUCGGAGAAGAAGCCCCGGCUAACUUCGUGCCAGCAGCCGCGGUAAUACGAAGGGGGCUAGCGUUGUUCGGAAUUACUGGGCGUAAAGCGCACGUAGGCGGAUAUUUAAGUCAGGGGUGAAAUCCCAGAGCUCAACUCUGGAACUGCCUUUGAUACUGGGUAUCUUGAGUAUGGAAGAGGUAAGUGGAAUUCCGAGUGUAGAGGUGAAAUUCGUAGAUAUUCGGAGGAACACCAGUGGCGAAGGCGGCUUACUGGUCCAUUACUGACGCUGAGGUGCGAAAGCGUGGGGAGCAAACAGGAUUAGAUACCCUAGUAGUCC